GAUGAACGCUGGCGGCGUGCCUAAUACAUGCAAGUCGAGCGAACAGACGAGGAGCUUGCUCCUCUGACGUUAGCGGCGGACGGGUGAGUAACACGUGGAUAACCUACCUAUAAGACUGGGAUAACUUCGGGAAACCGGAGCUAAUACCGGAUAAUAUAUUGAACCGCAUGGUUCAAUAGUGAAAGACGGUUUUGCUGUCACUUAUAGAUGUAUCCGCGCCGCAUUAGCUAGUUGGUAAGGUAACGGCUUACCAAGGCAACGAUGCGUAGCCGACCUGAGAGGGUGAUCGGCCACACUGGAACUAGAACACGGUCCAGACUCCUACGGGAGGCAGCAGUAGGGAAUCUUCCGCAAUGGGCGAAAGCCUGACGGAGCAACGCCGCGUGAGUGAUGAAGGUCUUCGGAUCGUAAAACUCUGUUAUUAGGGAAAAACAAAUGUGUAAGUAACUGUGCACGUCUUGACGGUACCUAAUCAGAAAGCCACGGCUAACUACGUG
rnacentral:rRNA from 1 species